rnacentral:rRNA from 1 species
AUACGUAGGGGGCGAGCGUUGUCCGGAAUGAUUGGGCGUAAAGGGCGCGUAGGCGGCGCGGUAAGUCUGGAGUGAAAGUCCUGCUUUCAAGGUGGGAAUUGCUUUGGAUACUGCCGCGCUUGAGUGCAGGAGAGGUUAUCGGAAUUCCCGGUGUAGCGGUGAAAUGCGUAGAGAUCGGGAGGAACACCAGUGGCGAAGGCGGGUAACUGGACUGCAACUGACGCUGAGGCGCGAAAGUGUGGGGAGCAAACAGGAUUAGAUACCCUGGUAGUCCACACUGUAAACGAUGAAUGCUAGGUGUAAGAGGUAUCGACCCCUUUUGUGCCGGAGUCAACACAAUAAGUAUUCCGCCUGGGGAGUACGGCCGCAAGGUUGAAACUCAAAGGAAUUGACGGGG